AGUGAACGCCGGCGGUAGGCCUAACACAUGCAAGUCGAACGGCAGCACAGUAAGAGCUUGCUCUUACGGGUGGCGAGUGGCGGACGGGUGAGGAAUACAUCGGAAUCUACUUUUUCGUGGGGGAUAACGUGGGGAAACUUACGCUAAUACCGCAUACGACCUACGGGUGAAAGCAGGGGAUCUUCGGACCUUGCGCGAUUGAAUGAGCCGAUGUCGGAUUAGCUAGUUGGCGGGGUAAAGGCCCACCAAGGCGACGAUCCGUAGCUGGUCUGAGAGGAUGAUCAGCCACACUGGAACUGAGACACGGUCCAGACUCCUACGGGAGGCAGCAGUGGGGAAUAUUGGACAAUGGGCGCAAGCCUGAUCCAGCCAUACCGCGUGGGUGAAGAAGGCCUUCGGGUUGUAAAGCCCUUUUGUUGGGAAAGAAAAGCAGCAGGUUAAUACCCCGCUGUUCUGACGGUACCCAAAGAAUAAGCACCGGCUAACUUCGUG
rnacentral:rRNA from 1 species